AGCCAAAAUAUGCACUUAUUGAAAGUGCAGCAAGAAAUUUGUUAUCUCUGCUAACACGAACGGUUGGUCAGGAUCAACAGGUUCAGGAUCAACAGGUUCAGGGUCAACAGGUUCAGAGUCAGUCCCGGAGUUUGACUCCCAGUCAGUCUGGCAGACAGAAUCAGGAAUUGAGACAGCCCAGCAUUCAGCAAGAGAUGACUAGGUCUUUUCCUAGUAUGUUCAGAAGAGAAAGAACCAGUGGCAAAAGCAAAUUUCCUACUCCAGUGACAAAAGCUGUAGCAGCUCCCACAAAACAUACCAAUCUGCAGUUUUACGUACUCCAGGAACCAACAGAUAAGACCCCACAUAGAUCUCAAGAGCUUAAAUUAUUAAUGGCAGGGUUAGGCAA